GAUGAAGAACGUAGUGAAAUGCGAUACUUGGUGUGAAUUGCAGAAUCCCGUGAACCAUCGAGUCUUUGAACGCAAGUUGCGCCCGAAGCCAUUAGGCCGAGGGCACGCCUGCCUGGGCGUCACACGUCGUUGCCCCCCCAUCUACUCCUUCGGGAUUGCGGGGGGCGGAUGAUGGCCUCCCGUGCGCCUCGUCGCGGGGUUGGCAUAAAUGCCAAGUCCUCGGCGACGCACGCCACGACAAUCGGUGGUUGCGAAACCUCGGUUGCCCGUCGUGUGCGGUCGUCGCGCAUCGAGGGCUCGAAAAAAUUGUCGGGCUCCGGCUCGGCUUUCAACGCGACCCCAGGUCAGGCGGGGUUACCCGCUGAAUUUAAGCAUAUCAAUAAGCGGAGGA
rnacentral:misc_RNA from 1 species